rnacentral:rRNA from 1 species
GUGGGGAAUCUUCCGCAAUGGACGAAAGUCUGACGGAGCAACGCCGCGUGAGUGAAGAAGGUUUUCGGAUCGUAAAGCUCUUUCGUUAGGGACUAACGUGCUCUUUGUGAAUAAUGAGGAGUAAUGACGGUACCUAAAUAAGAAGCCACGGCUAACUACGUGCCAGCAGCCGCGGUAAUACGUAGGUGGCAAGCGUUGUCCGGAAUUAUUGGGCGUAAAGUGCGCGCAGGCGGGAUAUCAAGUCUGUCGUAAAAGUGCGAGGCUCAACCUCGUGAGGGGACAGAAACUGGUAUUCUUGAGUGUCGGAGAGGAAAGUGGAAUUCCAAGUGUAGCGGUGAAAUGCGUAGAGAUUUGGAAGAACACCAGUGGCGAAGGCGACUUUCUGGACGAUGUCUGACGCUGAGGCGCGAAAGCUAGGGGAGCGAACGGGAUUAGAAACCCGUGUAGUCC